CAGGGGUCCUCAAACUCCGGCCCCCCAGAUGUUGCUGAACUACAACUCCCAUGAUAUCUAUGUAAUUCAAAGAAUCAUGGGAGUUGUAGUUCAGCAACAUCUGGGGGGCCAGAUUUUGAGGACCCCUG